rnacentral:lncRNA from 10 species
AAGGGCAAAAUCUCAUUUUUAUACAAUUUCUCUUAGCAGCUGCUCAAGUGCAAGCUUCUGAGUUUCCGUUUCUUCUAAACUGUCUAUAGCAGCAAGGAAAAGCGCUUUAAGAUGAAUUUGACAGGCCAGGCGCGGUGGCUCACAUCUGUAAUCCCAGCACUUUGGGAGGCCGAGGUGGGUGGAUCAGGAGGUCAGGAGUUCGAGAACGUCCUGGUUAACACGGUGAGACCCCGUCUCUACUAAAAAUACAAAAAUUAGCCGGGCGUGGUGGAAGGCGCCUCUAGUCCCAGCUACUUGGAAGGCUGAGGCAGGAGAGUCGCUUGAGCCCAGGAGGCAGAGGUUGCAGUGAGCCGACAUUGCGCCAUUGCACUCCAGCCUGGGGACAAGAGCAAGACUUCGUCUCAAAAAAAGAAAAGAUGAGUUUGAUAGCUUUGUCCUAAUACAUACUUAUGUCUGGAUCCAAAGGGGACAGUGUCUCUAGCUCAGGGGGCGAUGGAUGGGCCUUCCUGCAGAGUGGAUGUUUAUUGAUUACUAAAGCAUCUAUUUGAGUUAAUCACUAUCAUUUUCAUCAUAGUCUCAUUGGUGUUUGAGCAGUGUAAGAAUAUCAGCUCAGCUUUGAGCUGGAUUUCACCCUGUAUUAGUUCAUUCUCACAUUGCUAUAAAUAACUACCUGAGACUGGAUAAUUUAUAAAGAAAAGAGGUUUGGCCUGGCGUGGUGGCUCAUGCCUGUAAUCCUGAGAGGUGAAGCCAGCUGGACUUCUGGGUCGGACUUGGAGAGCUUUUCUGUCUUACAAGAGGAUUGUAAAAUGCACCAAUCAGUGCUCUGUAAAGACACACCAAUCGGCACUCCGUGGCUAGCUAGAGGUUUGUAAAAUGGACCAAUCAGCACUCUGUAAAAUGGACCAAUCAGCACUCUGUAAAGUGGACCAACCAGCAGGACAUGGGCGGGGACAAAUAAGGGAAUAAAAGCUGGCCACCCCAACCAGCAGCAGCCCCUGGCUUGGGUCCUCGUCUAAGCUGUGGACGCUUUGUUCUUUCGCUCUUCACAAUAAAUCUUGCUCACUCUUUGGGUCCGUGCCGCCUUUAAGAGCUGUAACACUCACCGCGGAGGUCCGCGGCCCCGUUCUUGAAGUCAGCGAGACCACGAACCCACCAGAAGGAACCAACUCCAGACACAAUCCCAGCACUUUGGGAAGUCAGGGCAGGCGGAUCAGGAGGUCAGAAGAUCGAGACCAUCCUGGCCAACAUGGUGAAACCCCAUCUCUACUGAAAAUAUAAAAAUUAGCUGGAUGUGGUGGCGCAUGCCUGUAAUCCCAGCUACUGGGGAGGCUGAGGCAGGAGAAUCCCUUAAACCGGGGAGUUGGAUGUUGCAGUGAGCUGAGAUUGCGCCACAGCUCUCUAGCCUGGCGACAGAGUGAGCCUCCAUCUCAAAACAACAACAACAACAAAAACCAAAAGAAAUGAGGUUUAAUUGACUCACAGUUCCACAGGUUGUACAAGAGGUGUGACUGGGGAGGCCUCAGGAAGCUUACAAUCAUGGUGGAAGGAUGAAGGGGAAGCAAGCACGUCUUCACAUGGCAGUAGGCGGGAGAGUGAGUGAAGGGAGAAGUGCUACACACUUUCAAACAACCAGAUCUCAUGAAAACUCACUAUCACAAGAACAGCAAAAGGGAAAUCCACCCAUGAUCUAAUCAUCUCCCACCAGCUCCCUCUCGCAACAUUGGGAAUUACAGUUCAACAUGCGAUUUGGUGGGGACACAGAGCCAAACCAUAUCACACCCCAUUCAAAGCUAUGAGAUUAUAAAAUGGUCCUUCUCCUGUCACUCAGCUGACUGUAAAUUCAUGCUGGCACAUCCACACCACGGCAGACAGAAGACACUGCUUGGGAGUUCUGUUCUGUCAUCAACGGAGCUGUGAUGACCGUGGAUGUCACUGGUAGUGGCCAACAUUUCUGCAGCUCCUUCUCAGUUACAUCCUCAACACAAACUCCUCACCAGGUGGCAGAAGUGGAAGAAGCUGAGAUGUGGCUGUGAGUCCUGACUUCACUGCUGUCCAGCGGAAAGAGUCUGAGCAGUCUAAACCCGAGGUUUCGCCAGUGUGAAAUGGGGCUAAUUAUAUAGACAUAUGGGUUUUACAAAGUUUUGACAAAUCAGAACUUUUGUUUUAUAUGCUGGGUUGAAAUCAAGGACCUGCUGGGUCUGUUCCUGCUACUUGUGGUUGGGUGGGGGAACAGAGGAUAGAGAAGAAACUGUUCAUCUCAGGUUGGAACGUGCCAGGUCUUCAGCCUUCCAGUGGCUUUUUAAAAAAACAUUUUUAUUUAUUUAUUUUUGAGACAGAGUAUUGCUCUGUUGCCCAGGCUGGAGU